rnacentral:tRNA from 1 species
GCCCGUGUGGCGGAAUCGGUAGACGCACGAGACUUAAAAUCUUGCGCCGCAAGGCGUGCCGGUUCGAGUCCGGCCAUGGGCACCA